rnacentral:rRNA from 1 species
GACGAACGCUGGCGGCGUGCCUAAUACAUGCAAGUCGAACGCACUCUCGUUUAGAUUGACGGAGUUUGCUCCUGAUUGAUAAACAUUUGAGUGAGUGGCGGACGGGUGAGUAACACGUGGGUAACCUGCCCUAAAGUGGGGGAUAACAUUUGGAAACAGAUGCUAAUACCGCAUAAAACCUAACACCGCAUGGUGUAGGGGUGAAAGAUGGUUUCGGCUAUCACUUUAGGAUGGACCCGCGGUGCAUUCGUUAGUUGGGGAGGUAAAGGCUCACCAAGACCGUGAUGCAUAGCCGACCUGAGAGGGUAAUCGGCCACACUGGGACUGAGACACGGCCCAGACUCCUACGGGAGGCAGCAGUAGGGAAUCUUCCACAAUGGACGAAAGUCUGAUGGAGCAACGCCGCGUGAGUGAAGAAGGUUUUCGGAUCGUAAAACUCUGUUGUUGGAGAAGAAGGUAUCUGAUAGUACCUGAUCAGGUAGUGACGGUAUCCAACCAGAAAGCCACGGCUAACUACGUG